GCCGGAAUGAUGGAAUUGGCAGACGUGCCGGACUCAAAAUCCGGUCCUGGCGACAGGGUGCGGGUUCGACCCCCGCUUCCGGCACCA
rnacentral:tRNA from 2 species